ensembl:lncRNA
GGCUGGUUGCGAGCAGAGCAGCUGCUCAUUGGUCCGGUAGAGAUCAGUCCAGGCGGUGAGGCCCGCCUCCUGCAGAUGACUCUCACACAGAAACAGAAGAGAUAGACUGCAGACUGACUGCCUUUAAAUUUCAAUCUGCUAAGGCCAAGAAAAAACAUAAUACUUAUAUACAACAAUUUUACAAAUGUUCACAGCACAAUUUUAAUUUCUGGAAUAUUAGAAAAUAUUAAAAAUAAUAAUACACUGUGAAAUUAUAUUUUUCUGUAAAGUGUUAUUCCCCUCCUGAAGGUGCUGCCUCCUCCCAGUUUACAAUUCCAGAAGCAAACUGGGAGAAAAUACAAACCAUUCAGUUAUUUAUUGACUUAAAUGUCUUUCAAAAAACAAAAGUAAAACAACAUAUCCAGUCUUAAAGUGUAAGCCUGAAAAUUACAAAUGGGUUAGUGGUAUUGUGUUUUUGAGAUGUAAGCAAGAAGAUGUUGCAAGUGAAAUUAUACAAGUAUUUUUAUUAUUAUUACUACGUGUUUAUAUUAAUUUAUUAAUUAAUUAUAGUUUUCCUCUAUUUUUUUAUUAUGUUGUUUUAUUUGUAAAAGUUUUCUUCCUGUGUCUUUUGAAAUGGUGUGCUUAAAUGGUCAAAAAUCAUGUAUUCACAGUAAAAACAUUGAAAAUUGAUUUGAAUAGUUAAUUACAGUCAUGCUACAUAACUAUGAUUUCAUUCUUUGUAUUCGUGUUGUGGAAACAUAGUUUUAUUUCAAAUUCAGAGCUAAUAAAUGUCACUUUGUUUUGUCCCAAGUUGUCCAACACAGUGUGGUUGAGCUACCCGAUCUGUGCGGUGUAUGUCUAUGCUUACAGCUGCUCUGCACACACAAACUAUCCCUGUUUGUCUGUCUGUCUGUAGAUUAGUCUAUAGUUCAGUGUCAGGCUGCCCUGGUGCCGUUCAGCAGCUGUAAGGAGGACUCGAACCUGCGACCAGUCUAAAUCAGAGACUUUGAGUGAAACAUGCUGCUGUGAUUUCAUUCCUGAGACUUUGAUCCUCCGGUGGCUGCUGGGAAAUAAAGCGCCUCUCUGUGCUGGUGCUGCUCAGUCUCCGUUAAACACGUCCGUGUCUCUGGAGAAAUGUCAGCCGUUAGCUCAGACCAGAUCCAGAAACGAGCCGGAACCGAGCCGGAGCAGCUGGAGGCCGGGGUUCUACAACCGCAGACCGUGUUUGUCAUCCUGGACUCGGCUGAAACAAUCAACCUGGUCCGGGUGGAGUCCGGUAUCGUCGCUGACAUCGAGGUCGACAAUCUGCUGCCAUCAGACUGCGACACCUUCUACCAGAUCAAGAGUCAGCCAAUCAGCUUCAGGUAACAGCACGUAUACAAAGACGAUAUUAUAUCUUAAUUAAGAGACAUGUUAACGGCUUACAUGACUGACAGCCGCUCACACGAUACUAACAUCCCCCCCGCACACUUCCAUUUUCCCAAAAAUCUAAUUUGCACGUUGAGUUCAACUUCGGGCGAUGGUCACUCACUUGCAUUUGGACAUGUGACCGCCACCAAGAUGCAAUG